rnacentral:rRNA from 1 species
UACGUAGGUGGCAAGCGUUAUCCGGAAUUAUUGGGCGUAAAGCGCGCGCAGGUGGUUUCUUAAGUCUGAUGUGAAAGCCCACGGCUCAACCGUGGAGGGUCAUUGGAAACUGGGAGACUUGAGUGCAGAAGAGGAAAGUGGAAUUCCAUGUGUAGCGGUGAAAUGCGUAGAGAUCCGGAGGAACACCAGAGGCGAAGGCGGCCUACUGGGUCAGUACUGACGCUGAGCCGCGAAAGCCAGGGGAGCGAGCGGG